UACACUACACAAUUUGAAAACAGAAGCGAA
rnacentral:piRNA from 1 species